CGGUGUCCAUGUUCUCAUUUUUGUCUUCCCCCCAAAUUUUCCCUCCCUCUCUCCAUCUACCCCAAAAUCUUCCCACCGUCGACCACCGUUCGGAGCUCCGUCGUCCUUCCGGUUCCAGCGACCAGUUUCUCACGAGCCCGCCACCGUUCCGAGCUCCAUCAUUCUUCCGGUUCCGACGAGGUGUUUCGCACAAGCCCGCCACCAUGGCGAGCUCCGUCAUUCUUCCGGUUCCGACGAGGUGUUUCGCACGAGCCAGCCACCGGUUCGAGCUCCGUCAUUCUUCCGGUUCCGACGAGGUCCCCCACCGUCUACUUCGAUCUCCAUCUCCAUCUCCGACCACUAGGCACUGCCAGGCGCCAUCACCGUCGUUCUCCAUCUUCGGCCAAAGCCCACCCACCGGCCGUCUUCCAGUUCCGGCCCUCUUCCAUCUCCGGCCGUUUUCCAGCUCCGGCUUCCCCCCAAAUCCGUCUCCUUCAAGUCUAGGUCUCCGUCAGAAAUUUUUAAAUGGAUUUAUCACAAUUGGACUUGAUUUCACAACACGAAGAUGAUUGUUCAUUGACACAUAUUGAACUUGAUGAUGUUGUGCCCAUCGAAAUGGACCCUCAAAAUGGAAAUGGCACCACCACAGCCCUAUCCGCUUGUGCUUUAUUGAGUUAUCAUAAGGGGAAAGACGUGUGUUCAUACCUAUGAAAUAUAUUCUUUAUUCUUUGGGGUAAUUACAUUUUUCUCCCAUCAAGUCAUUGUUAACAUGCUCUCAUGAAUUGACACCUCGACCAAAAGAAAGCAUCCAACUACCAACUUUACACACUUUGCCCCCUUCCGUCAGUUUAAUUCGUAAAAAGACAUAAAUGCCCUCAACUUUUUUAAACAUAUUAAUUUUAAUAUUUUUUUUAUUAAUUACUGUUGGAGGGCAUUUUGGUCUUUAAACCAAAAUUAACGCCCAAAAAUGAAAUAUUCCGUCCAAGUUAACGAAAUUCUUUGACGGAAUGGAGCAAAGUGUGUAAAGUUGGUAGUUGGAUGCUCUCUUUUGGUCAAGGUGUCAGUUCAUGGGGGCAUGUUGACAAUGGCUGGUAGUUAAUGGGGGAAAAAGGUAAUUACCCCUUAUUCUUUUUUGUCCUUCUUAACUACAAAUAUUUGUCUUUAUAAAUUAAUAUAAUGAAAACCUAGGUCUACAAUGUUCUUAUUUUUAAGGAAAAUAAAAUAA